AACCUGCUUUCUGAUUUAAUGCCAUUCUAAAGCUGCUUGCAAUAGACACACUGAAGGUGAACACAUGUUUACACUAAGAUAAGGGAACAUGUGUGUUAGGUCACGAAGCUUGUGAGUGGCAAGUGUCCUGGUCCCGGAAGAAAGUCUGUCUUUCCUUCCUUGUGAUGCCACAUGGAAAGCCAGAGUGCUGAGGUCAUUCCCCAGGGCACUCCCUAACUGCAUGACCAGAACCUUAGGGCUCACCAGCCCUCCUGCACUUCAGUGGACAAUGAGAGAAACCUAGGAUAGUCGAUCUUCUACAUGCAUUUUGGCCAUGUUGAUGUCAUCAUCGCAUUACCUAUUCACGAUCAUUAGAAGACGCAAUUUAAACCAAGAUUUCUUCUGCUAAAAACAUGUUAGAGCCAAGGUUGUGUAGGCUUCUUUUUCAUGGGGAAAUCUCAGAUCAUGCAUGCAAGAAUGCAACCUGGAAUGAGCUGGCAGACAGAGAUGACUAAAAGUCCCAAGCACAAGGUCAGGCCGGCCAGGAGUUUGAAACUGGAAAAUAGGCUGACUGUAUCUGAACUGCAUCAGAUAGCAUAUUCCUUUGGAAUGAUGGCAUCUAUUGGAUUGGUUUGCAGAUAUUGGUUUUGCAUCAACAAGGAAUCCCACGAAUGAAGAAAUCACGAAGCUUCCAGGCUGAAAUUUGCUGAAGAAUUGUGCUGUGGAGCAUUUAUAGAAAAAAACUCAUGAGAGACAUACCAAUCCUCUCUACCUCCUUGGGACCAUGAUGGAACAUAUACAAUUCAAGCAGCUGGAAUUCAGGCCCUGAUCCAGGUGACGGCUCAAAGAAACAGCUUCUCAGAGGCACUUUCCUGUUAAAAACCUCUACUUAGGAAAUGAAAGCUAAUUUGAUUAGAAAAGAUGUUUAAUUAACCACCCAGUCUAUAACUUUGCCAUUGAGUAGAAAUCUCGACGUCAUGUGUUUGAAUUUGAGAAGAUUACAACUAAUGGAGAUAAUUAGUUCUCCUUCUAAAUGAUACAAGUUCUUAUUUUAUUAUAUGGAUACAACCAAGGUCUUGGGCAAAAUCCAAAGGCAGUAUCUCCCAUUCACAUUCAAUAUGGGUAUGGGGUGGGGCUCACUGGUGCUAUGUACAAUCUUGAUGACCAUUGACUGAGAGAUAUGUCCAUAGUAAUGGUUGGUAGUAGAGAUGUACAAUAGGUCUGCAAAUGAUCCAGCCACAAAAUUGAGCUCCUUGUUGGCUAUACCUAAAGAUCUCCAGUGAAUGAAGACUUCCUGAAUGUUUUCACAUUGUCUGUGUUAAGUUGAGAGUGUGCUUGGGGCUUGAGAUGAAAAGCAGAAUACAGCUCAGAAAAUUGUGACCCAUCUUGAUGCAUCAUGAAGGGGAGUAGAGGCUCUCAGAACCAUGGAAUAAAGAAGUUGGAGACUCAGUAAUGGUACCCUGACUGGUUUGAAUUCAUAGACAUUGUUUCCUGUGUUGGUUAGGAUUUUACUUCUGCGAACAGACACCAUGACCAAGGCAACUCUUAUAAGGACAACAUUUAAUUGGGACUGGCUUGCAGACUUAGAGGUUCAGUCCAUUAUUAUCAAGGCAGGAACAUGACAACAUCCAGACAGGUGUAAUGUAGGAGGAGCUAACAGUUCUACAUCUUUGUUCUGAAGACAAACAGGUGAAGAUGGCUUCCAGUGACCUAGGAUGAAGGUCUUAAAGCCCAUGCCCACAAUGACACAUUUCCUCCAACAAGGCCACACAUCCUAAUAGUGCCACUCCCUGGGCUGAGCAUAUUCAAAUCAUCACAGCUCCCCAGCCCAAAACUCACAACUCCACUAAGAUCAAUUACAAGGUCUAAACCACUUCCACAUACGAUUCUCAAUCUUAUACUGUGAGCAUACUCCUUAGAACAAGAUCCCUAAGUCUAGCUUCAGGAUUCCUAAAAUAUUAUAACCAGGUUAUUCUCAACGCUAAUUUAAGUUUCUACAAAUGGCUGACAAAUUAUAUGCAUUCACCUGCAGUACUAAUGAAAACAUGAACCUUUGCUGGGCUUUGGUUGACAUUAUCAUUAGCCCAGUGUGAACACCCUUCUGUCUCAUUCUUGUUACAAGGUCUACUUAGCAAUAUCCAUAUUUUAUUUGGGGUAUGAAUUAUUAUUUAGUAAAUGUACAUUGACAGGUACAUUUUCUCCAAAAUUAAAAAGGAGGUCUAUGUAUAAGGGCAAUGACAUAAAAAGGAGUAUUGGGUAUGAAAAAUAGAGCUAUCAAUUUGAUGCUUUCUAAUUUUCUGUAGUAAAUUUUCUUCCCCAAUUCCCUCUGUAUUUAAUAGCUGGUCUUUUUAAUAUUAUUCUACACUGGGUUUUUGUGUGUGAUUAU